UACGUAGGUGGCGAGCGUUGUCCGGAUUUACUGGACGUAAAGGGAGCGUAGGCGGACUUUUAAGUGAGAUGUGAAAUACCCGGGCUCAACUUGGGUGCUGCAUUUCAAACUGGAAGUCUAGAGUGCAGGAGAGGAGAAUGGAAUUCCUAGUGUAGCGGUGAAAUGCGUAGAGAUUAGGAAGAACACCAGUGGCGAAGGCGAUUCUCUGGACUGUAACUGACGCUGAGGCUCGAAAGCGUGGGGAGCAAACAGGAUUAGAUACCCCGGUA
rnacentral:rRNA from 1 species